UCUAAUGUGACAGAAAUAUGUGAUGAACUUAAAAUUCAUUUAUAAAGUAAUCCCUUUCUUUAGAA
rnacentral:tRNA from 1 species